rnacentral:rRNA from 1 species
AGAGUUUGAUCCUGGCUCAGGACGAACGCUGGCGGCGUGCUUAACACAUGCAAGUCGAGCGAGGUCCAUCCAGUGGCAACACUGGGGAAGACCUAGCGGCGAACGGGUGAGUAACACGUGAGCAACCUGCCCCGAAGACUGGGAUAACACCGGGAAACCGGUGCUAAUACCGGAUACCCCCAUUUGAUCGCAUGGUCUUAUGAGGAAACGAAUUUUGCUUUGGGAGGGGCUCGCGGCCUAUCAGCUUGUUGGUGGGGUAAUGGCCCACCAAGGCUUCGACGGGUAGCUGGUCUGAGAGGACGACCAGCCACACUGGGACUGAGACACGGCCCAGACUCCUACGGGAGGCAGCAGUGGGGAAUCUUGCGCAAUGGGCGAAAGCCUGACGCAGCAACGCCGCGUGGAGGAUGAAGGUCUUCGGGUUGUAAACUCCUUUCAGCAGGAACGAGAUUGACGGUACCUGCAGAAGAAGCCCCGGCCAACUACGUGCCAGCAGCCGCGGUAAUACGUAGGGGGCAAGCGUUGUACGGAAUCAUUGGGCGUAAAGAGCUCGUAGGCGGCUUGGCAAGUCGGGUGUGAGAACUUCAGGCUCAACCUGGAUGUGCNGCUCUAUACUGCCAUGGCUAGAGUCCUGUANGGGAUCUCGGAAUUCCUGGUGUAGCGGUGAAAUGCGCAGAUAUCAGGAGGAACACAGGUGGCUAAAGCUGGUGGUCUGGGCCGGCACUGACGCUGAUGAUCGAAAGCGUGGGANCAACCCUGAUGCGAUCCCUGGUAUUCAAGUCAAAUGCGGCACCUGACGGCGGUCUU